GACGAACGCUGGCGGCGUGCCUAAUACAUGCAAGUAGAACGCUGAAGGAGGAGCUUGCUUCUCCGGAUGAGUUGCGAACGGGUGAGUAACGCGUAGGUAACCUGCCUGGUAGCGGGGGAUAACUAUUGGAAACGAUAGCUAAUACCGCAUAACAGUAGAUAUUGCAUGAUAUCUGCUUGAAAGGUGCAAUUGCAUCACUACCAGAUGGACCUGCGUUGUAUUAGCUAGUUGGUGGGGUAACGGCUCACCAAGGCGACGAUACAUAGCCGACCUGAGAGGGUGAUCGGCCACACUGGGACUGAGACACGGCCCAGACUCCUACGGGAGGCAGCAGUAGGGAAUCUUCGGCAAUGGACGGAAGUCUGACCGAGCAACGCCGCGUGAGUGAAGAAGGUUUUCGGAUCGUAAAGCUCUGUUGUAAGAGAAGAACGAGUGUGAGAGUGGAAAGUUCACACUGUGACGGUAUCUUACCAGAAAGGGACGGCUAACUACGUGCCAGCAGCCGCGGUAAUACGUAGGUCCCGAGCGUUGUCCGGAUUUAUUGGGCGUAAAGCGAGCGCAGGCGGUUAGAUAAGUCUGAAGUUAAAGGCUGUGGCUUAACCAUAGUACGCUUUGGAAACUGUUUAACUUGAGUGCAAGAGGGGGAGAGUGGAAUUCCAUGUGUAGCGGUGAAAUGCGUAGAUAUAUGGAGGAACACCGGUGGCGAAAGCGGCUCUCUGGCUUUGUAACUGACGCUGAGGCUCGAAAGCGUGGGGAGCAAACAGG
rnacentral:rRNA from 1 species